CCCUGCCCUUUGUACACACCGCCCGUCGCUACCACCGAUUGAAUGGCUUAGUGAGGUCUUCGGAUUGGCGCUGAGGACCCGGCAACGGGACUUCUUUGCUGAGAAGUUGAUCAAACUUGGUCAUUUAGAGG
rnacentral:rRNA from 1 species